GAUGAACGCUGGCGGCGUGCCUAAUACAUGCAAGUCGAGCGAACAGACGAGGAGCUUGCUCCUCUGACGUUAGCGGCGGACGGGUGAGUAACACGUGGAUAACCUACCUAUAAGACUGGGAUAACUUCGGGAAACCGGAGCUAAUACCGGAUAAUAUAUUGAACCGCAUGGUUCAAUAGUGAAAGACGGUUUUGCUGUCACUUAUAGAUGGAUCCGCGUCGCAUUAGCUAGUUGGUAAGGUAACGGCUUACCAAGGCAACGAUGCGUAGCCGACCUGAGAGGGUGAUCGGCCACACUGGAACUGAGACACGGUCCAGACUCCUACGGGAGGCAGCAGUAGGGAAUCUUACGCAAUGGGCGAAAGCCUGACGGAGCAACGCCGCGUGAGUGAUGAAGGUCUUCGGAUCGUAAAACUCUGUUAUUAGGGAAGAACAAAUGUGUAAGUAACUAUGCACGUCUUGACGGUAACUAAUCAGAAAGCAACGGCUAACUACGUG
rnacentral:rRNA from 1 species